GAUGAAGAACGUAGCGAAAUGCGAUAAGUAAUGUGAAUUGCAGAAUUCAGUGAAUCAUCGAGUCUUUGAACGCACAUUGCGCCCCCUGGUAUUCCGGGGGGCAUGCCUGUCCGAGCGUCAUUGCUGCCCUCAAGCACGGCUUGUGUGUUGGGCCUCCGUCCUCCUCCCGGGGGACGGGCCCGAAAGGCAGCGGCGGCACCGCGUCCGGUCCUCGAGCGUAUGGGGCUUCGUCACCCGCUCUUGUAGGCCCGGCCGGCGCUUGCCGACACAUCAAUCUUUUUUCCAGGUUGACCUCGGAUCAGGUAGGGAUACCCGCUGAACUUAAGCAUAUCAAUAAGCGGGGA
rnacentral:misc_RNA from 1 species